UACGUAGGGUGCGAGCGUUAAUCGGAAUUACUGGGCGUAAAGUGUGCGCAGGCGGCCGAGCAAGUCGAGUGUGAAAGCCCCGGGCUUAACUUGGGAAUUGCGCUCGAAACUACUUGGCUGGAGUGUGGCAGAGGAAGGUGGAAUUCCAGGUGUAGCGGUGAAAUGCGUAGAGAUCUGGAGGAACACCGAUGGCGAAGGCAGCCUUCUGGGCCAACACUGACGCUCAUGCACGAAAGCGUGGGGAGCAAACAGG
rnacentral:rRNA from 1 species